rnacentral:rRNA from 1 species
GACGAACGCUGGCGGCGUGCUUAACACAUGCAAGUCGAACGGAAAGGCCUCUUUCGGGGGGUACUCGAGUGGCGAACGGGUGAGUAACACGUGAGUAACCUGCCCUUGACUUUGGGAUAACUUCAGGAAACUGGGGCUAAUACCGGAUAGGAGCUCCUGCUGCAUGGUGGGGGUUGGAAAGUUUCGGCGGUUGGGGAUGGACUCGCGGCUUAUCAGCUUGUUGGUGGGGUAGUGGCUUACCAAGGCUUUGACGGGUAGCCGGCCUGAGAGGGUGACCGGCCACAUUGGGACUGAGAAACGGCCCAGACUCCUACGGGGGGCAGCAGUGGGGAAUAUUGCACAAUGGGUGGAAGCCUGAUGCAGCAACGCCGUGUGCGGGAUGACGGCCUUCGGGUUGUAAACCGCUUUCGCUCAUGAAGAAGCUUUGUGUGACGGUAGUGGGUAAAGAAGCACCGGCUAACUACGUG